rnacentral:rRNA from 1 species
UGGGGAAUAUUGGACAAUGGGCGCAAGCCUGAUCCAGCCAUGCCGCGUGAGUGAUGAAGGCCCUAGGGUUGUAAAGCUCUUUCAACGGUGAAGAUAAUGACGGUAACCGUAGAAGAAGCCCCGGCUAACUUCGUGCCAGCAGCCGCGGUAAUACGAAGGGGGCUAGCGUUGUUCGGAUUUACUGGGCGUAAAGCGCACGUAGGCGGAUCGUUAAGUGAGGGGUGAAAUCCCAGGGCUCAACCCUGGAACUGCCUUUCAUACUGGCGAUCUGGAGUUCGAGAGAGGUGAGUGGAAUUCCAAGUGUAGAGGUGAAAUUCGUAGAUAUUUGGAAGAACACCAGUGGCGAAGGCGACUCACUGGACAGGUAUUGACGCUGAGGUACGAAAGCGUGGGGAGCGAACAGGAUUAGAUACCCUGGUAGUCCACGCCGUAAACGAUGGGUGCUAGGUGUUGGGUAGCUUGCUAUUCAGUGCCG